GACGAACGCUGGCGGCGUGCCUAACACAUGCAAGUCGAGCGAACAGACGAGAACUUUGUUUCUUUGUCGUUUGCCGCACUGGUGAGUAAAACAUGUGUAAACUCCCCUUAUAAUAGUGAUAUAUCCUAGGGAUACCGGAUCUUACCCCGUAUAAUCUUCUGAUCCGCAUGGUUGAUUAGUAAAAGACGGUCUUGCUGUGAUUUAUAGAGGGAUUCCCGCUGCAUUAGUUAGUUGUGAAGGUAACGGCUUACCAAGGCAACGAUGGAUAGCCGACUUGAGAGGGUGAUCGGCCACAUGGGAGCUGGGACACGGUCAAGACUCCUACGGGAGGCAGCAGUAGGGAAUCUUCCGCAAUGGGCGGAAGCCUGACGGAGCGACGCCGCGUGGUUGAUGAAGGCUUUGGGGUCGUAAAACUCUGUUAUGGGUGAAGAACAGAUGUGUAAGUAAAUGAGCACAUCGUGACGGUAAUUGAUCAAAAAGCCACGGCUAACUACGUG
rnacentral:rRNA from 1 species